UACGUAGGGUGCGAGCGUUGUCCGGAAUUACUGGGCGUAAAGAGCUCGUAGGUGGUUUGUCGCGUUGUUCGUGAAAACUCACAGCUUAACUGUGGGCGUGCGGGCGAUACGGGCAGACUGGAGUACUGCAGGGGAGACUGGAAUUCCUGGUGUAGCGGUGGAAUGCGCAGAUAUCAGGAGGAACACCGGUGGCGAAGGCGGGUCUCUGGGCAGUAACUGACGCUGAGGAGCGAAAGCAUGGGGAGCGAACGGG
rnacentral:rRNA from 1 species